UGGGGAAUAUUGGACAAUGGGCGCAAGCCUGAUCCAGCCAUGCCGCGUGAACGAUGAAGGCCUUAGGGUUGUAAAGUUCUUUUGUCAGGGAAGAUAAUGACGGUACCUGAAGAAUAAGCACCGGCUAACUUCGUGCCAGCAGCCGCGGUAAUACGAAGGGUGCUAGCGUUGUUCGGAAUCACUGGGCGUAAAGCGCGCGUAGGCGGCGAUAUAAGUCAGAGGUGAAAGCCUGGAGCUCAACUCCAGAACUGCCUUUGAAACUAUAUUGCUAGAGUGUCGGAGGGGAUAGCGGAAUUGCUAAUGUAGAGGUGAAAUUCGUAGAUAUUAGCAGGAACACCGGUGGCGAAGGCGGCUAUCUGGACGACAACUGACGCUGAGGCGCGAAAGCGUGGGGAUCAAACAGGAUUAGAUACCCGCGUAGUCCCUGAGCGGGCUGGCAAGGCGCAU
rnacentral:rRNA from 1 species